AAGGAGGCCGCUGAAAUGGGAAAGGGCUCCUUUAAGUAUGCCUGGGUCUUGGAUUAACUGAAAGCUGAGCAUGACCAUGGUAUCAGCAUUGAUAUCUCCCUGUGGAAAUUUAAGAACAGCAAAUAUUAUGUGACUAUUAUUGAUGCCCCAGGACACAGAGACUUUAUCAAAAACAUGAUUACAGGCACAUCUCAGGCUGACUGUCGGGUCCUGAUUGUUGCUGCUGGUGUUGGUGAAUUUGAAGCUGCUCAAAGAAUGGGCAGACCCGUCAGCAUGCCCUUCUGGCUUACACACUAGGUGUGAAACAACUGAUUGUUGGUGUUAACAAAAUGGAUUCCACUGAGCCGCCCUACAGCCAGAAGAGAUAUGAGGAAAUUGUUAAAGAAAUCAGCACUUACAUUAAGAAAAUUGGCUACAACCCUGACACAGUAGUGUUUGUGCCAAUUUCUGGUUGGAAUGGUGACAACAUGUUGGAGCCAAGUGCCAACAUGCCUUGGUUCAAGGGAUGGAAAGUCACCCGGAAAGAUGGCAACAACAGUGGAACCACGCUGCCUGAAGCUCUGGAUUGCAUCCUGCCACCAGCUUGUCCAGCUGACAAGCCCUUGCAUCUGCCCCUCCAGGAUGUCUACAAAAUUGAUGGUAUUGGUACUGCCCCUGGGGGCUGAGUGGAGACUGGUGUUCUCAAACAUGGCAUGGUGGUCACCUUCGCUCCAGUCAAUGUUACAACUGAAAUAAAGUCUGUUGAAAUGCACCAUGAAGCUUUGAGUGGAGCUCUUCCAGGGGACAAUGUGUGCUUCGACGUCAAGAAUGUGUCUGUCAAAGAUGUUUGUCGUGGCAACAUUGCUGGUGAUAGCAAAAAUGACCCACCAGUGGAAGCAUCUGGCUCAGGUGAUUAUCCUGAACCAUCCAGGCCAAAUUAAUGCUGGCUGUGCUCCUGUACUGGAUCAUCACACAGUUCAUAUUGCCUGCAAAUUUGCUGAGCUGAAGGAAAAGAUUGAUCGCUGCUCUGAAAAGAAGCUGGAGGAUGGCCCUAAAGUCUUGAAAUCUGGUGAUGCUGCCAUCGUUGAUACGGUUCCUGGCAAGCUCAUGUGUGUCAAGACCUUCUCAGACUAUCCUCCUCUGGGGUCGUUGUGCUGUUCAUGAUAUGAGACAGACAGUGGCUGUGGGUGUCAUCAAAGCAGUGGACAAGAAGGGUGUUGGAGCUGGCACAGUCACCAAAUCUGCCCAGAAAGCUCAGAAGGCUAAAUGA